UGCCAAUAAGUGUGUGGUAGUGCAACGCGAUGAUGUUCAUUCGAAAUCCGACCAACAUCGAGGACCAUGAGGGCAGUGGCAGUGGUAAUGCUCUGGUCUUUGGUUCCUGAGGGCACUAUGAAGAGUGACAUCCAAGUGCUUGAGAUGCGCUUAUGAUCAUGAAUGUGAGGAAGGAGAGACAGAUUCUGAAUAUGCAGGAGGGGG